AUGCAGUGGCCUUGGUACCCCCUCAUCGGGUCUGCCCUUGCCCACCAACAGGCACCCCCUCACUUAGAGGGGAGCCACUUGUUGCCCCCAAACUCUUCGGUUCCUUCAGCGAGAGCUCCAGCCGUGAGAGAAUGCAUGUUGAACCUUCAGGAAAAUGUGCUCAGGAAUCACCCGUCCCCAUUUUCCACCAAUUAUACCACUGCUGGCCCCACUCCGUCCCGUGUCACAUCUUCCUUGUGGCUGCACUUAGGUGUGUGCACAGUGUUGUGUUACCGUGUGCGUGAAGAAACUGGUGAGGCUAAGUCCCCACCAACAUCACACAGAAGAGGCAGAGCCAGGACACCAAGCAGGUGCAGCCCAGGCCACGGUGCCCGCCGCAGACGCCCACCUGCAUUGCCCUCUACAAAGGCUCCCAGGACCAGCAUGUACUUCUCUGCCUCGUCUGCCACCUGGAAGGACCUGUACUUGGCAAACUGGUGGUUGCCCUCGAAGUCCACGAGGGCUGGGGCUGCGGUGCACAGGAAGGCAACGAGCAGGACCAGGGGCCUCAUGGCCGCGGCCACUCCGCGUGUGUCCAUCGCUGGGACCUUUGCCGAGGAAAGAUCCCCUCUGCUCUUAUAAGGCUGCGGCCGCCCACGGUCACCUCUGGCCCUGUUUUUCUGGCUGGUGGGGACGGCCUCUUCCUCCCCCCCCCCCCCCCCCUGCCCUCUUCAGGGAGCAUCUGACCUCAGUGCUGCCCCGGGAGGGGCCUCAUUUCCCCUCCAGCAGCCCCGGGCCCCCAGGGCUCAGGGGAAGGGCCGCCCACCUCUCCUCCUGCAGCUCUGCCAGCAGCACCCGAGGCCUUCCCAGGGCGCAGGGGUGGAGGAAUUCAUUUGCAUUUUAUGGGCUUCAAGUCUAGAGUAAUCUGGAAACUUCCCCUGGGGUGUCUGGGAGGAGGGACGUGUGCUCGGUUUUCCAGCCUGGGGUGCACUUGCCUUCUGGCCGCGGUGGGCGUGGACACGCCUCAAGAAGGAGCAGGGGCAGCCAGGCUGAAAAUAUCACAACGGGGUGGCCCUGGGGUGCUGACAGAGAGGCUGCCCUGCACCAGAUUCAGCAGCUCCAGCCUGGGGGGCAUGGGGGUGCUAGGUAGGGGUGGGAGGCCAGAGCCAUAAAUUGCUCUGGUUGGGGGGAGGCCACUUAACCCCCACUCCAGGAAGGACCAGGCUGGGUGCCUUUCCACACCUCUUAGGGAAGAGCCAGAUCCUGGAGCCAGCUCUCAUCCGGUGUCCCCCAGGAGAGACAGAGGUGGCAGGGCUGUGCCCCCAACCCCACCCCAACAGCCCCUGCCCAGGUACUGGGAUCGCAACCCCAAGCCAGACAAAAUCUUGUGAGUCUCAACGUCCACGGGAGAGCAUCUCAACGUCCACGGGCCAUGCGGCUGGAGACCAGGACAGCGGCUGGUCCCCACGGGGCAGGGGAGGAAAAGCAAGGUCCCCCCCAUCCCGGAGUCCCCCCACUCCCUGCAGAGUCAAGCACAGCAGGGGCCUUAGCACUGGGUCCACUCUGGAGACUCCCCGAGGUGGCCUGGCGUCGGGAUGCAAAACCUCCCACUGGGGAAGGGGAGGGGGCCUCACGGGGCAGGCGGAGGGGGCCUAGUGUGUGACAGCUGCAGGGGGGCGCCCCCUCUUGUCUCCUCUCCUGUGACCUGUCGAGGGGCCAUCUUCCGGGGGUGGUGAAACUCCCUCGGGUGGGGGAGAGGACAGAACUCUUUGUGGGGGGCUGGUCUGCAGGCCGAUGGAGGGCGUUCAGAGAAAGGCCCUCGGCUCCCUGCAUUUGCUGCUUUUCAAGCGCCCGCAGCUCAGAAGAGCCGGUUCCCCAAAGAGGCGCGUCAUGGGGGCAGGGUGUUCUGCCACCUGGACAGAAGCACCUCAGGAGCGGGAUGCUGCACCGCAUGGUGGGGUGACUCGGCCGGCAGAGGUGGGCUCCCUGGGGACGUGCGGCCAGAACACUGAGCUGGGGCUGGACUGAGGCCUCUUGGCCCCCAGGAUCUGUGAGCUUCUCACUGAGUGUAGACAGAGAGAGACACUGACCCGCACAGUGUCAGGGCUAACAUUUUAGGAUAAAGACACCAGUGUGGGAGUUCCCAUCGUGGCGCAGCAGAAGCGAAUCUGACGAGGAACCAUGAAGUUGGGGGUUCGAUCCCUGGCCUCGCUCGGUGGGUUAAGGAUCCGGCGUUGCCGUGAGCUGUGGUGUAGGUGGCAGAUGUGGCUUGGAUCCCGCAUUGCUGUGGCUGUGGUGGAGGCCGGCAGCUGUACCUCUGAUUUGACCCCUAGCCUGGGAACCUCCAUCGCUGUGGGUGCAGUCCCCAAAAAGACAAAAAACCAAAAAAUCCCACCAAUGAUUGGGUAUUUGGAGCUUCAGCAUCAUUCAUUCAAAUUUCUUUUUUAGCUGGAUUAUCUUAAAUUUUCAGAUAAUCCAGCUGAAAACAUGACCUAGACAUUCCUGCCGUGACACAACGCAAUCGGCAGGCACCGGAGCCCUGGGACGUAGGUUCGAUGCCCCCGUCCGGCAAGGUCGGUGGGUUAAGGGUCCGGCCUUUCCUCACGUGCAGAGCAGGUCGCAACUGCAGCUUGUGUCUGAUCCCUGGCCCGGGACCUCCACGUGCUGCGAGGUGGCCUAAAGAAAGCAAUUCAUUAAUAACAUAAGUAAAUAAAUACAAUCGAAAAGAUAUACUUUAAAAAGAA
rnacentral:lncRNA from 1 species